rnacentral:rRNA from 1 species
GACGAACGCUGGCGGCGUGCUUAACACAUGCAAGUCGAACGGAAAGGCCCUGCUUUUGUGGGGUGCUCGAGUGGCGAACGGGUGAGUAACACGUGAGUAACCUGCCCUUGACUUUGGGAUAACUUCAGGAAACUGGGGCUAAUACCGGAUAGGAGCUCCUGCUGCAUGGUGGGGGUUGGAAAGUUUCGGCGGUUGGGGAUGGACUCGCGGCUUAUCAGCUUGUUGGUGGGGUAGUGGCUUACCAAGGCUUUGACGGGUAGCCGGCCUGAGAGGGUGACCGGCCACAUUGGGAAUGAGAUACGGCACAGACUCCUACGGGAGGCAGCAGUGGGGAAUAUUGCACAAUGGGCGGAAGCCUGAUGCAGCAACGCCGCGUGCGGGAUGACGGCCUUCGGGUUGUAAACCGCUUUCGCCUGUGACGAAGCGUGAGUGACGGUAAUGGGUAAAGAAGCACCGGCUAACUACGUG